rnacentral:lncRNA from 1 species
CAACAUGGUUUUUCCAAAACUUUAAACAUACCUAAAAAAUAAAUUCAAUUGUUUUUUAUAAGCAUAAGUUCACUUGUUAAUGACAUGAUGAAGAUGUAUAAGAGGAAAUGUGAGAAGAAAAUAGAAAGAAAGUAGUGAUAUUGCAAUAGAGAGAUUGUGAGAAGAAAAAGGAAAGGAAAUAAUGACACUGCUAAAAACAGAAGGUGAGAAGUCAAGAGAAU